GGGGCUGUGGGGUUAUAGGUUUAUGGGAUUACAGGGUUAUGGGGCUGUGGGGUUACGGGCUUAUGGGGUUACUGGGCUGUGAGGUUAUGGGUUUAUGGGAUUAUGGAUUUAAGGGAUUAUGAGGUUAUGGGGAUGCGGGGUUAUGGGUUUAUGGGAUUAUGGGGUUAUGGUUUUAAGGGAUUACGGGGUUAUGGGGUUACAGGGCUGUAGGGUUAUGGGGUUCCGGGCUGUAGGGUUUUGGUGCUGUAGGGUUCCGGGCCGUAGG
rnacentral:lncRNA from 1 species